UUAAAAGGAAAAUUUAGAAAAAAAUCCAAAAAUGGCAAAAUGGGAAAAAAUUACCGACGAGAAAAAUCUUGUGAGAGGGUGGUUUGCCCACGCACGUGCUGGGCACUGUGUAUGCAUGCAUGCACGUAUAGUGACCGCAAGGCGUGUGCAUAGUGUGCACAUUCCAUCCGCAUGCUAGCGCACACCUCCCCUCUGCACGCACGACGCGAGGUUAGGACCUGCGCGUGUGUCCUGUCGCGUGCAAAUAGGUUGUCCGCGCGUCACCUCACGCACGGACUAGCGCCGCACACUAUGCGCCUGCCGUCCGUGAAACAGGCCUGCGCAGAUAGACCCUUACGCUAGGGGUCUGUGUGUAG
rnacentral:lncRNA from 1 species